AACGAACGCUGGCGGCAGGCCUAACACAUGCAAGUCGAGCGCCCGUUCGGGGGAGCGGCGGACGGGUGAGUACCGCGGGGGAAUAUGCCCUUCUCUACGGAAUAGCCUCGGGAAACUGAGAGCAAUACCGGAUACGCACUAUGGGGGAAAGACUUAUCGGGGAAGGAUUAGCCCGCGGGGGAUUAGGUAGUUGGUGGGGUAAUGGCCGACCAAGCCGACGAUCCAUAGAAGGGUUGAGAGGCUGGUCAGCCACACUGGGACUGAGACACGGCCCAGACUCCUACGGGAGGCAGCAGUGGGGAAUCUUAGACAGUGGGGGCAACCCUGAUCUAGCCCUGCCGCGUGAGCGAUGUAGGCCUUGGGGUUGUAAAGCUCUUUCAGCUGGGAAGAUAAUGACGGUACCAGCAGAAGAAGCCCCGGCUAACUCCGUG
rnacentral:rRNA from 1 species